rnacentral:rRNA from 1 species
UACGAAGGGGGCUAGCGUUGUUCGGAAUUACUGGGCGUAAAGCGCACGUAGGCGGAUCGAUCAGUCAGGGGUGAAAUCCCAGAGCUCAACUCUGGAACUGCCUUUGAUACUGUCGAUCUGGAGUAUGGAAGAGGUGAGUGGAAUUCCGAGUGUAGAGGUGAAAGUUCGUAGAUAUUCGGAGGAACACCAGUGGCGAAGGCGGCUCACUGGUC